rnacentral:rRNA from 1 species
GACGAACGCUGGCGGCGUGCUUAACACAUGCAAGUCGAACGGAAAGGCCCUGCUUUUGUGGGGUGCUCGAGUGGCGAACGGGUGAGUAACACGUGAGUAACCUGCCCUUGACUGUGGGAUAACUUCAGGAAACUGGGGCUAAUACCGGAUAGGAGCUCCUGCUGCAUGGUGGGGGUUGGAAAGUUUCGGCGGUUGGGGAUGGACUCGCGGCUUAUCAGCUUGUUGGUGGGUAGUGGCUUACCAAGGCUUUGACGGGUAGCCGGCCUGAGAGGGUGACCGGCCACAUUGGGACUGAGAUACGGCCCAGACUCCUACGGGAGGCAGCAGUGGGGAAUAUUGCACAAUGGGCGGAAGCCUGAUGCAGCAACGCCGCGUGCGGGAUGACGGCCUUCGGGUUGUAAACCGCUUUCGCCUGUGACGAAGCGUGAGUGACGGUAAUGGGUAAAGAAGCACCGGCUAACUACGUG